rnacentral:lncRNA from 1 species
GAAAAAGAACAGCAUAUUCUACACACGUAUAAUAAAAAGGAAAUGAUAAAGAUAAAAGAAAUUAAUAGAAUGGAAAGUGAUGGAGAUAAACAAGUGAAAAGAUGGUCCUUUGAAAAGACUAAAACAUGGCUAAUGCACUGGCAAGAAUGAUUGGGACAAUAAACAAAAUAUAUAACAAAAUAUAUAUGCCAGGGCAGCUCCCAGCGAGAUCGACGCAAAAGCAGGGUCUGCGGGACGGACCUGGCAGCUGGUGCCCUGUGUGAGGAUCACUGCAACGGAUCGUGACAGAACCCUCAAAAAUGAAGGUGAAGAGACUGU